GCCAGCAGCCAUAUCACCCUGCAACUCACAACUGGCAACCCACUGAAGCUAAGCAGGUGUGAAUCUGGUCAGUACCUGGAUGGGAGUUCCUGGGAAAAACUAAGGUUGCUGCUGGAA
rnacentral:rRNA from 1 species